ensembl:lncRNA
CUCCAGCUUCCCUUGUCUCCACCCCAAAACGAGGUAAUGGGGACAACCACCAAUGCGAUCCCAGGAGUUCUUGCCUUCCGAGCAAACGCUUUCAUUAACCAGCAUUGCAGAGUUCUGGGGGAGCCCUGGCUGGUGUCCUUCGUGCUGUGCCCAUCUCGACAGAAUGUUUGUAGUUCUGGGCAGCUCCACUUCUAGGGUGACAGCAGAUAUGGGGGGCAGACAAAGAACAUAUUCCAGAACUAGACAGGCAGCAGAGCCAUUGCAAAUAGCCCCGAGAAGGUACUGCAGCCCCCUGGAAGCAUUAAACAAAGCAAUAGAGACCGCUUCUGUUUCAGAACCAGCGAUGUGGCCCAAGAGAAAAAGAGCCUUAAAAGAGAACAUUCUGGUGAGCAAAUGCAGAUUGAUCAGGCUGUUGAAUUUUUUUAGAAGAUGUACUUGUGGACAAGGCAAGAAGGGAAGGAGCCCAGCUGCUUAACUGGUGUGUUUGGGACACUUUGGGGCCUCACUAAUAAAUUCUAGUGUUGAACUCUUCUAAUUGGAAGCUGGAUGACCUUGAACUUCGUAACCCGAGCCCCAGUUUCCUCAUUUUGAAAAAUGAGGAUAACCUCUUCCGAGUCUGUUGUGCAAAGGACUUGAGAUGUUGUGCCCGAGUGUUCUCUGUGCUUUCAGUCACUCUUUGUCCAGGUUUCCCUGGAUGCCUGCCAAAAAAAAUGGCAUGACGCUGAGUCCCGUAGGGAGUGCAGAGCAGUCUGAGUGAUCAUUCGGGCCUUUGGGGAGCGUGUAUAGCCGGGAGCCGGGUGAGUGCAUGAACCCCUGCAAAAGUAUGUCAUGAGAAGGUAGCAAAGUCGGGGUGAUGUUUUUAGGAUGAAGGAAAUUGGACCAUUCAGGGCAAGGAGUGAGGAGCUAGUUAGGAGGCAGAGUGUGGGGAUGCCUGAGAGAGAGAAUCCUCUCGCCUGCUGUGCUGCUCCUGUGAGCCACACACCCUCUCAGAAAGAGCAGGCCCGGGACUUCUCGCUCUGAGCAUAGGGGCUGUGGAGGAGAUGAAGAGCAGGAAGUUUCUGAGGUGGAGAAGAAGGUGAAGGUUGUGAGGGGCUCUGACUGACUUUUCAAGAGGCAGUGAUAGAACGUGGGACCUGGAGUCAGUCACUGGGGUGAGUCCCAGCUUAGGAGGUGCUGUGACUGUGACCAAGUAAAUCAACCUUUCUGAGCCUCAGUUCCUCCCUCUGUAAAAUGGGGCCAUUCAGCUUACCUCCUGGAGACUGGGAGGACUAACUCAUUUAGAGUUAUGUAUGGAAAGUAUUCGGCACUCCCAACCUAGACAGCAUAUUAAAAAGCAGAGACAUUACUUUGCCAGCAAAGGUCCGUCUAGUCAAGGCUAUGGUUUUUCCAGUGGUCAUGUAUGGAUGUGAGAGUUGGACUGUGAAGAAAGCUGAGCGCUGAAGAAUUGAGGCUUCUGAACUGUGGUGUUGGAGAAGAUUCUUGAGAGUCCCUUGGACUGCAAGGAGAUCCAACCAGUCCAUCCUAAAGGAGAUCAGUCCUGGGUGUUCAUUGGAAGGACUGAUGUUGAAGCUGAAACUCCAGUACUUUGGCCACCUGAUGCAAAGAGCUGACUCACUGGAAAAGAUGCUGAUGCUGGGAAAGAUUGAGGGCAGGAGGAGAAGGGGAUGACAGAGGAUGAGAUGGUUGGAUGGCAUCGCCGACUCAAUGGACAUGGGUUUGGGUGGACUCCGGUAAUUGUUGAUGGACAGGGAGGCCUGGCGUGCUGCGGUUCAUGGGAUCUCAAAGAGUCGGACACGACUGAGCGACUGAACUGAACUGAACUGAACUGAAGGCUUCCAUACACGAUAGCUGCCAUGAUGAUGAUGAUGACGAUUGUUGUUAUUAUUUUACUUUGUUUUUUGUAAUUAUGAAAGAUUGGCCCCUCUUAGAAAUGAAUAGUU